rnacentral:rRNA from 1 species
GAUCCGGUGGUUCUGCGUGGAAGGGCCAUCGCUCAACGGAUAAAAGCUACCCUGGGGAUAACAGGCUUAUCUCCCCCAAGAGUCCACAUCGACGGGGAGGUUUGGCACCUCGAUGUCGGCUCAUCACAUCCUGGGGCUGUAGUAGGUCCCAAGGGUUGGGCUGUUCGCCCAUUAAAGUGGUACGCGAGCUGGGUUCAGAACGUCGUGAGACAGUUCGGUCCCUAUCCGUCGCAGGCGUAGGAAAUUUGAGAAGACCUGUCCUUAGUACGAGAGGACCGGGAUGGACGUACCUCUGGUGUACCAGUUGUCCUGCCAAGGGCAUGGCUGGGUAGCUAUGUACGGAAUGGAUAAGCGCUGAAAGCAUCUAAGCGCGAAGCCAACUUCAAGAUAAGAUUUCCCACCGCAAGGGUAAGACCCCAGAAAGACUAUCUGGUUGAUAGGUCGAAGGUGUAAGUGCAGCAA